rnacentral:rRNA from 1 species
UACGUAGGGGGCAAGCGUUGUCCGGAUUUAUUGGGCGUAAAGAGCGUGUAGGCGGCUAUACAGGUCCGCUGUGAAAACUCGAGGCUCAACCUCGAGACGUCGGUGGAAACCGUAUGGCUAGAGUCCGGAAGAGGAGAGUGGAAUUCCUAGUGUAGCGGUGAAAUGCGUAGAGAUUAGGAAGAACACCAGUGGCGAAGGCGACUUACUGGACUGUAACUGACGCUGAGGCAUGAAAGCGUGGGGAGCAAACAGG